rnacentral:lncRNA from 1 species
CAUAGCCAGCUCCUUGAUUUCUCCAUCAGAAAAUGUUGUUGUUGUUCCGAAAGAUAUAUAAAGAACUGAUUUUGGAAGUUGUUUGUUCAGCCACUCCAAACACAUAUUGUUCCUAUUUGAGAUAUGAUCUCGGUUGGUAGGAAUAAUAGGUCCAAUUGCCCAUUGUUUCUUGUUCUGAUAAAUUUCUGCCAGCAAAUCAAGAUACUUGCCUUCAAUUACUUUACUUGUAUUAUGGAUAUCACCUGAUCUAAAUUGUCAAUUUUUACAUAUUUCCAAAUAAUUUUCUUACGUUAUAUAUUUGUCAUUACAUAUGCUUACUUUCUACUCUUUCCGUUCUAUUUUAUUUGACCUCUUUUAACUUGGCACACCAUUAAAAAAACUUUAAUUUGAAGUGUAUUUUAAUUUACAAAAUUAAUCCUAUUAAUGAUGUCUUGAAAUUCUAAAUCUAACUAUUAUUAUUUUCUUUAAUUUUUUAAUACCGAGGAUAAAUUGAGAGAGAAACUCUUGAUUUGCAAAAAUAAACUACUGAUUUGAAAAAAACAUAUUUGAAAAGAAGGCCAAGGAAGAGAGUAUCAACUGUGUUUGGUUUUGUUUUCCUCGCGGAUGUGGUGAGGGGCUGAGGUGGAGGGGUGGUCCGGGGAGUCUGGGUAGAGACAAAGCUAUUAAAAUAUUUAAAUAAUGAUAUAUGUCAAGUGUAAGCAAUUAUAUAUUGAAUUCAAAAUUUUAUUGUUUUGUAAAUUAAAAUAAUUCAAAAAGAAGUAUCUGAAGUGAAAGCAUAAUGGCAAUUAACUCGUUAUUGUUUCGUUUGUAAGUUGAGUGACUAUACUGUUAAAAAAAAAAGUUACUUUAGCAGGAUAUUUCUAUAAGUUAAGUGACAAUUUGAAGAAUUAACUCAUAUUCCCUCCGUCCAUUAUUACUUCUCCACUUUUCUAUUGUGAGAUGUUCAAUAAUAUUUGGUCAGUUUAUAAAAUCAAUGGAUAAUUUGCUCAUUUCUACCCAUUUUACCUUUAGCAUUAAAUACGAUUCAUUAUCUAAUACAUUUUUCAAAGCAUUAAAUUUAUUAUAUUCAAAGGGUAUUAUGAUAAAAUUACUCUAUCAUUUCCUGUUUCUAAAUCCCCGUGUCAAUAGAAAAGUAGAUAAAUAAAGAUGGAUCGAGUGAGUAAAACUUAGCAAAUGCAGAAUUAUUUGUGCAAAUUUAUAUAGAUAUCUCUACUGAUUUCCAACGUAAAUGUGCUUAGAAAAACUGUACCUAUAAACUUCAAGGUUUUUCUUGUACUAUUCAAUGGCAACAUCAGUAAUACAAAUUUUAUGAGUUGAUUGUCAAGUCAAAGGGUAAGGCGUGAGACUUUUUUUUCUUGUAAGGAAAAAUAGGCUCCCCGCCUUGCACUUAAUCAUUAGCUAACAUGGUUAACCUUUUAAGAACAAGGCGUGAGUUUUCAUCCACCUUGUCCUAUUUGAAAUUUUUCAAUUUUUAUGUUUCUUCGAAAUCUUGGAUGAAAAAAGUUACCUUUAGGCUCUGAACUCUGAAGAAAUGUAUACCUUUAGAACUAAAUCAUUUAUCUGUUGAGAGAGGAACACAAAGCAAUCAUCUUAUUGAACUUCGCAAAUAAAGAAAUACAAGGUAGAGUAAACUAGUCUGAAGCAAGAAGCAGAUAAAUGACAGGUUAAUAUGAAAGAAAAAUACUUUAAAAUUCUGGUGAAAAGCAGGUCUAUCUUGUGAUAUGCGCGAUAAAAGAAUCCAGCUCCAUUCGAGAAGCACCCCCUUUCUCUAUGGAUCGCCGUACAGCUUCUCCCAUUUCUUCAGCUCUUCUCCUAAUUGCAUCACCUUCUUCUGAUGCCAUCAACUUCCUCACAACAUUCUCAAUAGUGGAUGCACUUACUAGCUCCUCGCGUUUCUCCCACUCCCUCACAGUCAGGCCUACUUUCAACAUUUCCGUCAUCAAGAAACCAUUUCUCGGUUGGUCAGAGUGCAUAGGCCAAGCAGCUAUAGGCACUCCCAUAGUAAUACUCUCCAUGCAAGAGUUCCAGCCACAAUGACUCAUGAAACCACCCGUGGAAGAAUGAGCCAAGAUUUCUGGUUGUGGUGCCCAUUCUCUUACCACUAAGCCUACUUCUUUUACCCUUUCCUCAAACCCUUCUGGAAGCUCCACUCUUCUAGCUCCCCCGGUAAAGAUAUCUCCUCUAUCGGCAUCUCUCAGAACCCAUAUGAACUUCUGUUUGCUUUGUUCUAAUCCCAUAGCCAGCUCCUUGAUUUCUCCAUCAGAAAAUGUUGUUGUUGUUCCGAAAGAUAUAUAAAGAACUGAUUUUGGAAGUUGUUUGUUCAGCCACUCCAAACACAUAUUGUUCCUAUUUGAGAUAUGAUCUCGGUUGGUAGGAAUAAUAGGUCCAAUUGCCCAUUGUUUCUUGUUCUGAUAAAUUUCUGCCAGCAAAUCAAGAUACUUGCCUUCAAUUACUUUACUUGUAUUAUGGAUAUCACCUGAUCUAACAUUAUAGUACGGAAGCUGAGCAGCUGAAAAGUCCCUGGCUUCGUCUGUCAUAAUUCCUUCAAAGGAGGGU